rnacentral:lncRNA from 1 species
GUCCGGUCAACCGUGCGAGGAGUCGGCGUCAAAGCCGCCCUCGUGCGGCCCGACACUCCGAAAAUACUACUCUAUUUUCCCGCUUCACCGUAUUAAUGCCGAACUUUUAAUCAGGACCGUCCGUUUGCCGCGGUCUUGUGUCCGGCUUGAUUUCACGCGCGCGGAGGUCGCUCUCCCCCGUACGCUGACACCGACCCCUAAAGCCGAACAGUAGCACAUGUCCCGUCCCAUCGCGGGCCCCACGAUUCGACGACCCA